rnacentral:lncRNA from 1 species
CCAAAACCUGAAAGUCAUCACAUCAAGGACAUCUAAUCUCCAAAUACUAAGUCUAAGAGUACUAAAGACACCAAAAUAAAUUAAUACGAUAGGUUGUGUCCGAAAAAUAAGGACAUCAUGCCAUGACCGAGAAAAUCCAACACGAGCCCGAAUGAACAUCUCACCCUGGAACCUGAUGUGCUGGAGACUGGCUAGAGUUGAGGGCGAGUCGAA